rnacentral:rRNA from 1 species
GACGAACGCUGGCGGCGUGCCUAAUACAUGCAAGUCGAGCGAACAGACGAGGAGCUUGCUCCUCUGACGUUAGCGGCGGACGGGUGAGUAACACGUGGAUAACCUACCUAUAAGACUGGGAUAACUUCGGGAAACCGGAGCUAAUACCGGAUAAUAUAUUGAACCGCAUGGUUCAAUAGUGAAAGACGGUUUUGCUGUCACUUAUAGAUGGAUCCGCGCCGCAUUAGCUAGUUGGUAAGGUAACGGCUUACCAAGGCAACGAUGCGUAGCCGACCUGAGAGGGUGAUCGGCCACACUGGAACUGAGACACGGUCCAGACUCCUACGGGAGGCAGCAGUAGGGAAUCUUCCGCAAUGGGCGAAAGCCUGACGGAGCAACGCCGCGUGAGUGAUGAAGGUCUUCGGAUCGUAAAACUCUGUUAUUAGGGAAGAACAAAUGUGUAAGUAACUAUGCACGUCUUGACGGUACCUAAUCAGAAAGCCACGGCUAACUACGUGCCAGCAGCCGCGGUAAUACGUAGGGUGCGAGCGUUGUCCGGAAUUACUGGGCGUAAAGGGCUCGUAGGUGGUUUGUCGCGUCGUCUGUGAAUUCCGGGGCUUAACUCCGGGCGUGCAGGCGAUACGGGCAUAACUUGAGUACUGUAGGGGUAACUGGAAUUCCUGGUGUAGCGGUGAAAUGCGCAGAUAUCAGGAGGAACACCGAUGGCGAAGGCAGGUUACUGGGCAGUUACUGACGCUGAGGAGCGAAAGCAUGGGUAGCGAACAGGAUUAGAUACCCUGGUAGUCCAUGCCGUAAACGGUGGGCGCUAGGUGUGGGGGUCUUUUCACGACUUUCGUGCCGUAGCUAACGCAUUAAGCGCCCCGCCUGGGGAGUACGGCCGCAAGGCUAAAACUCAAAGGAAUUGACGGGGGCCCGCACAAGCGGCGGAGCAUGUGGAUUAAUUCGAUGCAACGCGAAGAACCUUACCUGGGCUUGACAUACACCGGAUCGGGCUAGAGAUAGUCUUUCCCUUUGUGGCUGGUGUACAGGUGGUGCAUGGUUGUCGUCAGCUCGUGUCGUGAGAUGUUGGGUUAAGUCCCGCAACGAGCGCAACCCUUGUCUUAUGUUGCCAGCAUUUGGUUGGGGACUCAUGAGAGACUGCCGGGGUCAACUCGGAGGAAGGUGGGGAUGACGUCAAAUCAUCAUGCCCCUUAUGUCCAGGGCUUCACACAUGCUACAAUGGUCGGUACAACGCGCAGCGACACUGUGAGGUGGAGCGAAUCGCUGAAAGCCGGCCUUAGUUCGGAUUGGGGUCUGCAACUCGACCCCAUGAAGUCGGAGUCGCUAGUAAUCGCAGAUCAGCAACGCUGCGGUGAAUACGUUCCCGGGCCU